GGUUGAAUGGUGUAGUUGGUUAUCACAUCGGAUUUUGACAAGGACUUCUCGAGUCUGAAAUCUUCCGGUUACCUGGGUUCGAAUCCCAGUUCGACCU